CCUUAAUCGCUUGUGCAGUGCUUAGUCUUAUGAGUCUGAGCAGUCUGAAAGCAUUUGUACCCAUUAGGAAAUGGUACAUCAUCAGCAUCCAAUCUUCUUCUGUGGCCAUUUAAUGGACACAUGUAGUGCUGAAUACCUAAGCAGCAGACCCUAAGAAAAGGAGGCAGUCCAUCUGCAACUCCCUCGUCUUGGAUGUUAUUUCUCAUGGGUGUUGGCUAUGGUUCCCAGGCUAUACAGUAGGUUGUUGUUGUUGUCAUUGUUCAGUUGCUGAGUUGUGUUGGACUCUGCCACUGCACGGACUGUAGCCUGCCAGGCUCCUCUGUCCAUGGGAUUUUCCAGAUCUAUUGAUACUUCCCUGGGUUUGACUGGUUCUUCCUUGAUCCCAUCACAAGCAGUGGAAUUCAGUUUGCAAAUGAUGAAAAGUGAGUACUGUGGGAGAGAAUUUAGAAGAACCCCAACAACCCUCAGAAUAAGCGUCUUGAGUCAUGUUAACCAAGGACGGUGGGAUUCUGGACAUGUA
ensembl:lncRNA